UUAAUUGAAGCCAAAAAGAGGCGUAUCACUGUUAAUGAUAUCAUUGAAUACUCAAUUCCAAUUAAG
rnacentral:tRNA from 1 species